ACACUCGACACCUACGGGGGCAGCAGUGGGGAAUAUUGCACAAUGGGGGAAACCCUGAUGCAGCGACGCCGCGUGAGCGAAGAAGUAUUUCGGUAUGUAAAGCUCUAUCAGCAGGGAAGAAACUGACGGUACCUGACUAAGAAGCACCGGCUAAAUACGUGCCAGCAGCCGCGGUAAUCUGAGCGGGCUGGCAAGGC
rnacentral:rRNA from 1 species